rnacentral:rRNA from 1 species
CGGACGGGUGAGUAACGCGUGGGAAUCUGCCUACUAGCGGGGGAUAGCCCGGAGAAAUCCGGAUUAAUACCGCAUACGCCCUACGGGGGAAAGCUGGGGAUCUUCGGACCUGGCACUAGUAGAUGAGCCCGCGUUGGAUUAGCUUGCUGGUGGGGUAAUGGCCUACCAAGGCAACGAUCCAUAGCUGUUCUGAGAGGAAGAUCAGCCACACUGGGACUGAGACACGGCCCAG